rnacentral:rRNA from 1 species
UACCAAACUGUUGCCUCGGCGGGAUCUCUGCCCCGGGUGCGUCGCAGCCCCGGACCAAGGCGCCCGCCGGAGGACCAACCAAAACUCUUAUUGUAUACCCCCUCGCGGGUUUUUUUAUAAUCUGAGCCUUCUCGGCGCCUCUCGUAGGCGUUUCGAAAAUGAAUCAAAACUUUCAACAACGGAUCUCUUGGUUCUGGCAUCGAUGAAGAACGCAGCGAAAUGCGAUAAGUAAUGUGAAUUGCAGAAUUCAGUGAAUCAUCGAAUCUUUGAACGCACAUUGCGCCCGCCAGUAUUCUGGCGGGCAUGCCUGUCCGAGCGUCAUUUCAACCCUCGAACCCCUCCGGGGGGUCGGCGUUGGGGAUCGGCCCUGCCUCUUGGCGGCGGCCGUCUCCGAAAUACAGUGGCGGUCUCGCCGCAGCCUCUCCUGCGCAGUAGUUUGCACACUCGCAUCGGGAGCGCGGCGCGUCCACAGCCGUUAAACACCCAACUUCUGAAAUGUUGACCUCGGAUCAGGUAGGAAUACCCGCUGAACUUAAGCAUAUCAAUA